UCACUAUAUAUCUAUGGUCGGCACGUCUGGUAGCAUCUGUGGCUGCUGUUGACCUUGUUUUUGGAGUAAAACACGGUGGAAGCUGAAUUAGUGAGAAUGACUCCUGCUCCUGUCAUCUCUAAGCUCCUCACACAUCUUUACCUGCACAUGAGGAAAAUCACUCCUGUAGAAUGCAGAUGUUCAGAGGGAGAUGAUGCCACAUCUGGUCCAGCUGAUGGAAGGUCUUGAAGUUCUCUGACUGGCCUCGACUGAAGAUGGUCGUCUCACUGGAUUUAAGAUGCACAAUGAGGGAUGUCUGCAGCAACUGAGAAAGAGUCUCACCACAUCCUGACAUGAGGAAAAAGACUUUAUUGAAGACUACAAUGAGAAAAAGUAUCAGACAGCAGACGGCUGCAUUCAAGUCUGUAGCUGCUGAAUUCAUGGAUGAAUCAUCUGGCACUAGAGAAGAAGACCAUCAAACAUCCACGUCAGCUGAUGGAGGUCCAAGAGUCUCACCAAACAACCAACCUACAGAGUGAAGACCUCGAAUCUGAUUGGACGGCCUCCUAUUCAGCCACAUGUGAACAAAUGCCUCUAAGUUGAUUUGUUUUCUAAAAUAAAUCUAGUUUGAGUCCUAAUCUAUGCCUGUGUGUUUGCUUCUUUACACUGCUGUUAACAGUUUAGGCUGUUAGAUUGUUCCAGAUAAGACAAGUACAAGAUUCUUCAGAGCCGUUCUACCACGAGCCUGACAGGAAGAACUCCAACAGCUACUGAAUGUUCCUGUGGUCCCCUCAAGGCUACAGGAGGAGCCCUACGAGGACGAGCUGGUCCACCUGAUGGUGGCCUACAUGAGAG
ensembl:lncRNA